rnacentral:sRNA from 1 species
CAAAUGCCUCUACCCAGAUGGGUGGAGCUAUGGCGCCUCCAAUGAAGGAUCUACCCAGGUGGCUGGAAGAAAAUCCUGAAUUUGCAGUUGCUCCAGACUGGACUGAUAUAGUUAAGCAGUCUGGUUUUGUUCCUGAGUCGAUGUUUGACCGCCUUCUCACUGGGCCUGUAGUGCGGGGAGAGGGAGCGAGCAGAAGAGGAAGAAGGCCCAAAAGUGAGAUCGCCAGAGCAGCCGCGGCCGCCGCUGCUGUGGCCUCCACGUCAGGGAUCAACCCUUUGCUGGUGAACAGCCUGUUUGCUGGAAUGGACCUGACGAGCCUUCAGAAUCUCCAGAAUCUCCAGUCGCUCCAGCUGGCAGGCCUCAUGGGCUUCCCUCCAGGACUGGCAACAGCUGCCACCGCCGGAGGCGAUGCGAAGAACCCUGCUGCUGUGCUGCCCCUGAUGCUGCCAGGAAUGGCGGGCCUGCCCAACGUGUUUGGCUUGGGCGGGCUGUUGAAUAACCCUCUGUCAGCUGCUACUGGAAACACCACUACUGCUUCUAGUCAAGGAGAACCGGAAGACAGCACU